UACAUAGCUUAAUGAGGGGAACUCAGGGAACUGAAACAUCUAAGUACCUGAAGGAAGAGAAAGAAAUUCGAUUCCGUAAGUAGCGGCGAGCGAACGCGGAUUAGCCCAAACCAAUAAAGUUUUCUUUGUUGGGGUUGCGGACAUAUCAUAACGAAGAGGUAUCGUAAUUGAAGAGGUUUGGAAAGACCCACCACAGAAGGUAAUAGUCCUGUAUGUUAAACGAGAAGACUUUAGAUAUGAUCCAGAGUACCACGGGACACGUGAAACCCUGUGGGAAGCAGGAGGGACCACCCUCCAAGGCUAAAUACUACCUAGUGACCGAUAGCGUAUAGUACCGUGAGGGAAAGGUGAAAAGAACCCCG
rnacentral:rRNA from 1 species